GGUCGGUUAGCUCAGUUGGUUAGAGCGUGGUACUAAUAAACUAUCCGGUUUAUCAAGUAAAUGCCAAGGUCAUGAGUUCGACCUCAUACUGACCA
rnacentral:tRNA from 1 species